UACGGGGGGAGCAAGCGUUGUUCGGAUUUACUGGGCGUAAAGGGCGCGUAGGCGGUAGCACAAGUCAGUUGUGAAAUCUCCGGGCUUAACUCGGAAAGGGCAACUGAUACUGUGCGACUAGAGUGCAGAAGGGGCAACUGGAAUUCUCGGUGUAGCGGUGAAAUGCGUAGAUAUCGAGAGGAACACCUGCGGCGAAGGCGGGUUGCUGGGCUGACACUGACGCUGAGGCGCGAAAGCCAGGGGAGCGAACGGG
rnacentral:rRNA from 1 species